UACGAAGGGGGCUAGCGUCGUUCGGAAUUACUGGGCGUAAAGCGUGCGCAGGCGGCUUCUCAAGUCAGGGGUGAAAGCCCAGAGCUCAACUCUGGAAUUGCCUUUGAGACUGAGUGGCCUGAGUACGGGAGAGGUGAGUGGAAUUCCCAGUGUAGAGGUGAAAUUCGUAGAUAUUGGGAAGAACACCGGUGGCGAAGGCGGCUCUCUGGGCCUUACCUGACGCUGAGGAGCGAAAGCGUGGGUAGCGAACAGG
rnacentral:rRNA from 1 species